UUCCAGACUCCUACGGGAGGCAGCAGUGGGGAAUAUUGCACAAUGGGGGGAACCCUGAUGCAGCGACGCCGCGUGGGUGAAGAAGUCAUUCGUGACGUAAAGCCCUAUCAGCAGGGAAGAAAAUGACGGUACCUGACUAAGAAGCCCCGGCUAACUACGUGCCAGCAGCCGCGGUAAUACGUAGGGGGCAAGCGUUAUCCGGAUUUACUGGGUGUAAAGGGGGCGCAGACGGCAAUGCAAGCCAGGAGUGAAAGCCCGGGGCCCAACCCCGGGACUGCUCUUGGAACUGCAUGGCUGGAGUACAGGAGGGGCAGGCGGAAUUCCUAGUGUAGCGGUGAAAUGCGUAGAUAUUAGGAGGAACACCGGUGGCGAAGGCGGCCUGCUGGACUGUGACUGACGUUGAGGCCCGAAGGCGUGGGGAGCAAACAGGAUUAGAUACCCGCGUA
rnacentral:rRNA from 1 species